GAACCAUUCUCCCUGGUCAAACUUGGAAUAUCCUUGCCAUUUCUAUCAGCAUCCAUUCUGCUAUCAGGCUGUUGAAAAGAUGACCAAGCCUCAGAAUAACAAUCUGCAUUCGCAGAAUUCAAACUCGGCAAUUUUCCAUCUGAUGCACCACCAUUAGUUUCAUGCAUGGGAGAUUCUUCUGCUGGUUGACUGAUAAAGGCUUGUUUCUUU
rnacentral:misc_RNA from 1 species